AUUGAACGCUGGCGGCAUGCCUUACACAUGCAAGUCGAACGGUAACAGGUCUUCGGACGCUGACGAGUGGCGAACGGGUGAGUAAUACAUCGGAACGUGCCCAGUCGUGGGGGAUAACUACUCGAAAGAGUAGCUAAUGCCGCAUACGAUCUGAGGAUGAAAGCGGGGGACCUUCGGGCCUCGUGCGAUUGGAGCGGCCGAUGGCAGAUUAGGUAGUUGGUGGGAUAAAAGCUUACCAAGCCGACGAUCAGUAGCUGGUCUGAGAGGACGACCAGCCACACUGGGACUGAGACACGGCCCAGACUCCUACGGGAGGCAGCAGUGGGGAAUUUUGGACAAUGGGCGAAAGCCUGAUCCAGCAAUGCCGCGUGCAGGAUGAAGGCCUUCGGGUUGUAAACUGCUUUUGUACGGAACGAAAAAGCUCCUUCUAAUACAGGGGGCCCAUGACGGUACCGUAAGAAUAAGCACCGGCUAACUACGUGCCAGCCGCCGCCGUAA
rnacentral:rRNA from 1 species